rnacentral:lncRNA from 1 species
UGAAACUGUAUCAUUUUAAUAUUUUAAUAAUCAAAAUAUGAUUCUCUUCCCAACUCAACCGUCUGUACCCAGAUAACAAUCCCCUUUUCCCUUUCACUUUCUACAUAUCUAAAAGAGAAGGUAAAGAGGGAAAUUCUGAAUGGAAAACUUUAGAGGCCACUGGCUGGGUAAGUAGGGCAGAGACCAAGUGAGGGCUGAGAAGAAAGGGAGCAGAGAGUGGACAGCAGGAGAGGGUAGAUGAAGUCAUUGGACAGAGAAUCUGAGCUGCAAAUGGAAGGCAAGGAGGAGAAUCUCAGAAGCUUCCUCCUUGGUCUUCACCAGGUUGGGAAUGGGUUGCCGAAGGGGAGAGGGCAUAUUUUUAGCAUGCAAGUUCCCCAACCCUGCAGUCAAGUUCAGGGAGAGGGCUGGAGAGCUCAGUUCCAUGGCUUGCAGAGGGAAGCUGCAGGGAGUUGCUACUGAGCCCAACUGAGAUUUAGCACAUUGAUUUUUGCCUUUAUUUUUUUCUAGGUGCUGCGGUUUGUGAUUGAGUGGGGAGGUUGGGGAGGACAGCCAAGGCUUUUAAAGGUGCCAAUACUCUAGCAAGAAAUAAGGAAGAGUGGCUGCUAAAAGAGCUGAGAUUUUCCAUUCUACCCUCCUGUGCCUCAUUUUUCUUUUCCUCUUUCCACUUUCUUGGCUGAGCCUGCUUGUCAGUGAGAUGAUCAACAGCUGUGGGAAGCACAGAGUAGUAGGAAGAGGGCUCCGAGCAGGAGUCGGGACAUUUGUCCUGAGUGGGGCUGAUGGCAUAAACCUGACCUUGGCCGCCCAGCUCCUUGGCCCAGGUCCACCUUCCUUCAUUCACUGUUUCACUCUCGUAUCCACCGAAUACCUAUGCAGCGUCUACUAUGGAGUGUCUACUGAAGUCAAGCACUAGGCAUCCCAUUGUGACAAAAUAGACAUGGUCCUGACCUCAAGGGGCUUACACUCUGGGAAGAUAGGUAACAUUGAAUAAAUGGCAAGAAACCAAUAUGUGAUUACAGAUCAUUGAUAAGUGCUGCAAAGGAAAACAAGAGGACUCUAUGAAGGAGAAUUACCAGUCUCUACCUCUAUGUCCAUCAUUCAAUAAAUAUUUAGUCAAUCCUAAUGUGUGCCAGGCAGCAUUCUUGCUGGGAACACAGCAUUAAACAAAACAGAACAAAACAGACUAAGUUCCUCUUCUCAUGAAGCAGGGGCACAGAUCAUGGAAACCACUAUCAGAACUUGGGAUUUCAUUUAUGUCCAAUGUGAGUCAGGCAUCUCUCCUGGUGGCUGUCUUCCAUGUGGUGACUUAUGUAUCCAGGAUCCUUCUACUGUGUUUCUCCUCCAUUGCGAAGUCCUUCACUUCCAGCACCUGAGACAUUUUUUGGGUAUAUCUACAAGUGGCAUAUAUCACUUCUGCCCACAUUCACCUGGGUAGAACUCAAUCACAUUGUUUCACCUAACUGCAAGUGAGGCUGUGGAAUAUAGUCUCCCUAUGUGCCCAAGCAGAAGAAACAGGAUUGUGUGACUCUACAAUGUGUGAUUGCUCCUGGUGAAUCAAAAGGAUAAAGCUGCUGAUUCUGCAAUUUGAUAACCCAACCAUGCUGACCUCAAAGUGUAGUCAAUCCAUGAAGUUCCUCCCACCACAGCUCAUCCUGAACACUGCCCACCUGAGUCAUCAAGAAAGAUUUCACCUGAUUCUUGGCCACAAAGUUUCAAGGGAACCAGAGCUAAUGAAGACAGCAUGGAAGGGCACCGCCGAGACCUACCUGUGGGAGUCCACCUCACCCUCAAGAACAGCUACCAUUUUAACACAGAUGGAUAAACCCCAUGAAAGUGAACUUCCUAAAUGCAAAUUCUGAUCUUGAAGCCCCAGCUGGCACAUCUACUGGAGACCCUCCCAAGCAACAAGAUGUAGAUGCUUUAGAGAUAACAAACUAUACAAGUUGUCUUCCAUUCUUUCUCCUUCCUCUAUUUUCAACACGGAUAAAAUACAUAUAUAUUUAUCUUGCUGAGCUCAGUAGGAUUAUUUAGCUUUAUUUCCAUGGCUGCCUUUUCUUAAUGUAAUAGAAUUUCCAAUCGAGCUUAUUACUUCCUUCCGUCACAAGCCUGAGGUCCUUUCACACCCAUCCUGUCCUUGGCAAAGAUCUUUGGAAAGUAGCCUGGGACAUACCUAGUGGUAAGCCACCUGCUCUGGGUUGAGGGUGGAUCUAUUCUAGUCAGAGGCUUUGUGAUCUGGACAAAGGAAUUGAGUAUGUGGCUGUCAAACUGUCAGGCAAUACUAAAUUUGGCUGGCCAGCUGAAUUCUAGCAGAAAAUCAUGCAAAAUAAGGUUUAGCAAUUGGGGAAAAAUGGCCCACAGGAAAAACAAAGGGAUGAAAUUCCGUAGGACUACACGGCCAUAGAAUUCUAACUUGAGGGCUGCAACCAGCUAUGUGACCUUGUAGUACAAGGACCAGUCUUCAGAUACAAAAUAGAGUUUGGAGUUAAAGGGAUCUUUGAGAAGAAGCCAUUAUCCACCCCCUCCUCCCAAUUUUAUAUGCCCUAAGAAAAAGGUUUCUUUCAACUUAGAAAGGUAUGAUUCUUGAAGUGCACUUCCUCCGAGUUUUCCUGAGCCUCUCAAUCAAAAUGACUUGCACCUGCCCAUCCAUUCCCAUUGGCUUAUGCUCCUACCCUGCAGUAUUGGCUUCAUUAUGCCUCACCUUGUACACCUGUCUGAUUCCUCUCCUAGAUUAUCAGCACCUUGACAAUGGGCUCGUAUCUUGUGUAUCCCUGAAUUUCCAGGGACAAUGAUAGUGCCUGCCACAUAAUUGAUGGUCAAUAAAUUUUGGUUAAAUAGUAACAAGAAACUCCCAUUUAAAAAAUGUGUUAUCGUUAUCAUUCUCAAUCUGGAUGCUCUCCUCUAUACACAGUUUUAUUCAGUAACUCUCUUAAAAUUGUAAAGGUGAGAAAUUGAACACAGUUUCCCAGGUCUUUGAGCAGCACGAGAUACAGGGAGAAAAAAAAUGCUUUGUGCUUGAAUACUUUACUUCUGAUUGGAGAAAAUAAACACUGCACUGGAUUAUUUUUAAAGAUACAUCACAUUACGUUUGUGAUCAACUGAAAUGCUAAGAUAUUUGCAUGUGGAUUUCUGCCAAGCUGCUUUUCUCCCAUUCUUCAUGUGUGUGAUUGAUCUUGAAAUCAAAUGGUGGGACUUUAUAUAUUUUUUUGUUUUAACUCAAGGUAAAGUCUGACAAAAAUCACGUUAAAUUUGAUGCUGUCAGUGAAGACAUUAGCAAUCCUUCCUGGCUUAAGGUCACUGGCAAAUUUGAUAUACUUAUCUUUUGUGGGGUUUUUUUGUUGGUUUUUUUAAGACAGGG